ensembl:lncRNA
AUGAGUGAAGCAGACUCAGCACGCGAUUUGCCUGCCGCUAGCAGUUCACAUGCAGUGCAGCGCUUUAAUGGACAUUUUCCGCCUAUCUUUUUGGGCGACGGGAAAGAAGAUUUUCUCCACUGGUGCAGGCGCUUUGAAGUGACUGUGGAGGCUAGCGCUGAUUUUGAUAACGCCAGGUUAGCAAAGUUUUUGCCAACUUGUCUUGGUGGUACUGCUUUUAACUACUGGGACAGUUUGCCUAGUGACAUUAAGAAAGACUAUAAACAAGUGAAAGAAAAAAUGAAAGCUGUUUUCGGAAAACGAGUUUAUCUCUCCACAUUUCAAAGUUAUGUGAAUGCACGCACACGCCUGCCUGGCGAGGCUCUCCAAGUUUUCGCAGCAGAAAUUAGCCAUUUGGUGGAUGAAGCUUUUCCCACAUAUGAGGCUAAUGCAAAGAAUGGAGAAAAAUUCAGACGGUUUGUUGCUGGAAUUGAACCUUAUCUGCAGCUUCGCAUUCAUGAACAAGGUGUAGAUACACUGGAUGCUGCUCUUGCGUUGGCUUUACAGAUUGAACAGGCACACCAAGCCAGCAAGGUACUGCUGCCGUCUCACCCACAACAGUGGACUACUUUGGCAGCAGGAGUUUUUCCUGGAUCUACCCUCAACGUUCUUCCACAGACUGUACCUACCUCUCCCUGCUCCACGAUGUCUACAGCUCUUCCUGCAGUUCACUCAGCUACAUCAGGGGACUUCAUGAAACUUCAACGGACCUUGGAAAGUUUGACAGAGAGAGUGGAUCAACUUCAGCUAGAGGUUAACAGACAGAGGUAUGCUGGCCGACACACUUCUUCACCGGAUCGACAGCGUCGCAGUCUUACCCCAGACGAUUCACGUGGGCGCACAUCUGAACGUCGCAGGUAUGACGGACAUUCAUAUACUGACUGUGACUCUUUUCAUGAGCGAAGUAGACCAUCAUAUAGAGAUACGAGUGGCGACAGGGACUAUUACAAAGCACGUAGAUAUGAGGGCUAUCGUGAUCAA